UCCACGAUCUGAGCCCAAGGUAGCUGCUUAACCUACUGAGCCACCCAGGCGCCCCUAUACUGAAGGUUUCUGAUUCAUGUUGUGGUUUCCCUAUAUAGCAAUGUCCCCUAAUCUGAGGAAGAAACAUUCUAAGACCCCCAGUGGAAAAGCACAGACAGUACCAAACCCUGUACGUACUUUUCCUAAUUAACAGGCGUUUCUGCAGUAAAGUUUAAUUUAUAAAUUAGACACAAUAGUCGGAGAUUAACAGUAAUGAGAUAAAUAUACAAUUUAUCAAAGAUACAAUUAUACUAUAAAUAAAAGUUAUGUGAAUGUGGCCUCUGUCUCAGAAUAUUGUACUGUAUUCAAUGCCUUUGAUGAUGUGACAUAGCAUUUGUGAUGAGAUAAAGUGAGGUGAAUGUCUUAGGCAUUGUGAUGUAGCAUUAAGCUACUAGUGACCUUCUGACCAUAUGUCUGAAGAGUAUUGUCUACUUCCAGACUCUGGGUAACUGAAACGGUGGAAAGCAAAACUACAGAUAAGGAAGACUUCUGUAUUCCCUGCACAUCUGAUCUCAUAUUUAACAGCCCCAAUUAUUAUCCCACUAGACAGGGCCUAUGAAUGAAUUGUGAAGAAUUUUAUCAUUGUUACAUUUGGAAAGAGCAUAGGAGGGUGAAAGAAAACAUGGAUGACGCUUCCUGAAUUUUGGCUUCUGGGAUGAAUCAAGUUCAGAGACUAGGAACUGCUGGUGUUG